rnacentral:rRNA from 1 species
GACGAACGCUGGCGGCGUGCUUAACACAUGCAAGUCGAACGAAGAGCGACGGAAGCUUGCUUCUAUCAAUCUUAGUGGCGAACGGGUGAGUAACGCGUAAUCAACCUGCCCUUCAGAGGGGGACAACAGUUGGAAACGACUGCUAAUACCGCAUACGAUCUAAUCUCGGCAUCGAGGAUGGAUGAAAGGUGGCCUCUACAUGUAAGCUAUCACUGAAGGAGGGGAUUGCGUCUGAUUAGCUAGUUGGAGGGGUAACGGCCCACCAAGGCGAUGAUCAGUAGCCGGUCUGAGAGGAUGAACGGCCACAUUGGGACUGAGACACGGCCCAGACUCCUACGGGAGGCAGCAGUGGGGAAUCUUCCGCAAUGGACGAAAGUCUGACGGAGCAACGCCGCGUGAGUGAUGACGGCCUUCGGGUUGUAAAGCUCUGUUAAUCGGGACGAAAGGCCUUCUUGCGAAUAGUGAGGAGGAUUGACGGUACCGGAAGAGAAAGCCACGGCUAACUACGUG